CGCGGAAAUACUUUAUUUAGAAUUUAUUGUAAAAAAUUUAUAACUACUAAGAUAUCCUGCACAAGGCACGGGCUUAUCUGUCAUAGUCCCGCGAAAUACUUUAUUUAGAAUUUAUUGUAAAAAAUUUAUAACUACUAAGAUAUCCUGCACAAGGCACGGGCUUAUCUGUCAUAGUCCGCGGAAAUACUUUAUUUAGAAUUUAUUGUAAAAAAUUUAUAACUACUAAGAUAUCCUGCACAAGGCACGGGCUUAUCUGUCAUAGUCCGCGGAAAUACUUUAUUUAGAAUUUCAACCUGAAAACAUGCGAAACAAUACUAUACAUGCAUUAUGUAUCAAGUGCAUAAAACAGCAGUGGGGAAACAACAAAAGAAAAAUGCAUUAAACAGAAUAAAAAUAAAUUGCAUAAACAAAACUGUAUACUUACUUAAACACUAAAAUAAUUGAAAAAAGAUAAUUGAACCUGCAUUGGUUGCAACGUAAACAUGUACUUACCAGUAUAACUACAUACGAAAUAUACACAAUAAAAUUGAACAUGAACAAUAUACGAAAAUGUACACGAACA
rnacentral:lncRNA from 1 species